UUCGUAGGGUGCAAGCGUUGUCCGGAAUUAUUGGGCGUAAAGAGCUCGUAGGCGGUUUGUUGCGUCGGCUGUGAAAUCCCGAGGCUCAACCUCGGGUCUGCAGUCGAUACGAGCAAACUAGAGUGUUGCAGGGGAGACUGGAAUUCCUGGUGUAGCGGUGAAAUGCGCAGAUAUCAGGAGGAACACCGGUGGCGAAGGCGGGUCUCUGGGCAACAACUGACGCUGAGGAGCGAAAGCGUGGGGAGCGAACAGG
rnacentral:rRNA from 1 species